CUUGGUUAAGUCAUUCACUAGUGUCUUGACGGUUGUUCUGGGGUCUUUAUACAGACACAUCUCUCAGUGGUUUUCAUUCCAGAUUCUUUGAAAUCUUUCACUUCUUACCUCUGCUAGG